rnacentral:rRNA from 1 species
ACAUGACUACAACAUAGCAUUAAUGCACCGGAUCCCAUUAGAACUCUGCAGUUAAGCGUGUUCGGGAUAGAGUAGGACUAGGAUGGGUGACUGCCCGGUAAGUCCUAGUAUUUUACAUGCC